AUUUAUUAUUCUCAAAAUAUGUUUAUAUUAACGUGCAAUGAGUUUAUUAAUUUUAAAAUGGAUUAGUAAAUAUAUAUUUAAAUAUUUUCAGUUAAAAAUACAAUAACUGUAAGUAGUAAAUAUAAAUAGAUAUAACCCACAUAAAGUUCUUUGGGAUCUUUAGUAAUUUUUAAGGAUGCAAAGGGGUCUUGAGGACAAAACAUUUGAGAACUGCUCCCCAACAUCAUACCCCUUUAACCAAAUCUGAUUCUCCUGGGUAAGACCAGACACUUUUUAAAAAAUUAUUCCUCGGAUGAUUCUGAUGUAGCCUGAGAACUAUUGGAAUAGAAUGCCUCUUUGUUGGAGAAAGUCCCAUUCUAAUGUUGAGCUGUAGGAACAAUGCCAGGAACAAGGGCAGGCCUUAACAGGCCUACCGGGGACUCUAAAGAUGCUGUUGACUUUGUACUACCAAGGAGCAGAGGUAAUCUCUCCAGAUCUGGGUAGGAGGGGGCAAGGAAACUCCCAACCCAAUUCCUGAUUCUUCUUGACUAAGAGAAGCAGCUGAGAGUCAAACAGAGAGAAUGAGCCUUAAGAGGAAGAGUUCCAGUUCUGGACACCAUUGCUAGAGCUCUGGGCUCAGUAGGAAAAAUCAUAGACCCAGUCAGGGGGAUUGUGAUUCUCCCCAUGUUCCAACUAACCUCGAGACCAGAGAGGUAGGUUGUGGGCCAAAUCUGGCUCACGGAGAUGCAUUAUUUGUACUUCGCAGAAUGGAGAAGCUUUCUGGAAUCAGACGGAAGCAUUCAAAAAAUUUGAAAUUCCAGAUUUCUAGCUCAUCUUAAAAAUUGGAAGAUCUGGCACACAUGGGCCUAAACUCUACAUGGCAACCAUUGUCUGGACCUGCACCAGUGUUGCUGCCAACAGGUGGAAUCUAAGCCCUCCGCAGUCUCCAGGCCACCUCACUUGCCUGGCCCCGGGGGUUGCCAUCCCUGUUCUAGACAGCUCAAAGAGAAGGGUGGGAUCAUUCGGUGGUCUAAGGAGAAGACAAGGACGAGGUCUGUCCCAGCGCCUGUACUCUUCUUGUCCAGAAUGACAAGAUGGCCACGCAAACUCAGGGUGGGCCUAGCAGAGUCUGAAAUCUGGCACUGGGACUUCGGGUUGAUCUAAUUUGCCUGGGUGCAAGGAUUAGAGGCCAACAGUUGGAUGUUUCCAUUACCGAUUUUAGUUAUUGUGCUAGGAAUAGCACUAGUCAUAGCUCUAAAGGGCUCCAAUGAGCUGUAUGUGAUCGAUUCACUGCAUCUUCUUUGUGAAUAUAAGAGCUCAGAGAAACCAGUAUGCUCCACUUGGUGUGUUUUUGACAUCACUUGUGUCAUCAUGAAAAGAGCAGUUAUACUGAAUCCCUUGAUCUGCUCCACAGAGAAAUCUCUUGCUCUGUUGCUUCAUUUUCAUAUUUGGUCUUCAUUCAUCAAUCCGGUUAAGAAAAGCCACCUCCUCAAGUGUCAGCUGUGGAUCCAAAAACAUCUACCAAAGAUAAGCUGUUGUCAUGGCAAAAAACAACAAACCUGAAGGUGAUGGAUCACGGGACUUGGUUACUGUACUUGCCUGGGAGUCCGCACUGCCUCCAACCUUUACUUAACUCUACAUGCGGCUUUUCAACACCGCGUUCCUGGGUUGUUUCAAAAGCACUUUGCUUCUCACUUUGCAACUCCUCGAGCCAAUGGCAUUCAACCACAUUACGUAGAUCUGCACUUGCUAUAUUGCUUGGCAGUCUUAAAAUCCGGCUUUUGUUCAAAAAUGUUCAUAGAAGUUUGGAAAAUAUAGAAGAUAGUCUGUUAGGAUCUGGAGUUUUUUGUUUGUUUUCUGCUCAUUAAAAACAACAACAACAACAACAACAACCCCAAGUAUUGAAGCAAAUCUUAGGAUAAAAGUUCACUAAAAACAUCUUGGUUGCAUGUCAGGUUGAAUCCCAACAUAAGAAGUUGCAGUAACUAGGUCUUAAUGAUUAAUUCUUCCACUGACUAAUUUGUUGACUUUAGUUAGGUUACUUAAUUUUUCUGCUAUUCCUUUGUCCAAACAGCAAGAAUUCCAAAUUAGAAUUUAUUUAAAAUCUAAUAAACAAACAGAACUGAAAGAGGCUUAUGGCUCUAGCUUAAACAUGGUGUUUAGCCAUGUUGACUCACCAAAUUUUUAAAACCUAUCACAAUUUGACUUAAUUUAAGAAAAAAACUUUCUCAUUAAGGAAAUAUUUUCCAUGCCUACGUGUAUUCAAAAUGUGAUUUUGUGACUAUGAAUUCACUUGGACUGUUUCUGCAUUUUGGAAUUAAGGGGAGGGGAAGAAUGCCCACCCUACCCUUGAAGUGAAGUAAGAGUUGCUUCAAACUGUGCCCCCACGGAAAACUUGACAUGCAUUUCCCAUGUUUGUGGGGAGGAAGAUCAAGCACUCAAGUCUGAGCCCCAUGAAGGAAAUCCAAGUUCAGAAGCCAAGCUGCUGACCUGCUCUGGUGGAAGAGUGAAGAACAGAAGUUAAUGUUGAGCAGGGACAGGCUGGCUCUCUCAGGGUAAGUGGGGCAAGGAAUGCAGGCAUAUGGACCCAUGAAGGACAGUGCACAGAAGAGAGGGAAUCAGCUUAGAGAUUUCUUAGAUUUCUUAGAUGUUAUUGAUGGGAGUAUUCAAAGAUGCCUGAAAAUCAUCAACAUAUGUCCCUUCAGAAGAUGGGUCUAGUUCCCAUCCCAUUGAUCAUUUGGCCUUCAUGGCUCAGUCCUACAGAAUAGAAUGUGGAGAAAGUGAUGCUGCAUGUCUUUGGAGGCUGGUUAAUAAAAGACAAAACAACUUCUGCCUCACUAGCACUCUUAGGACAGGUAUUCUGGAAACCUUCUGCCACCACAUAAGAGGCCCAGUUACCCUGAGGUAGCCAUGUAAAGAGACCGAGAGAGAGAGACUCAAGGAGCCCCUGGCUAGCUUCCACACCGGUGAGGUAUUAUACUCCGAGCACUGUUCGGGUAUGGUUGGUCCCACAGGGACAGAGAAUGGGAACAUCUAGUACGACAACCUGAAGACGUGAUGGAACAUUAGCACAGAAGAAACUGGGGUUGGCUUCCGGUUCCCUGGGCAUUGAGGGAGGAGUAAGCAACCAGCUCUCUGGUCAUGGGAACUAUGGAUUGAGAGGCAAUUGCAAAAUUGGAGGUUUUUGAAGAACUUAUAAGAUAAAGUGAGGCUUUCAACAUUUUCCAGGCCCAGUGUGAAAUUGCUUUAUGAUGGUCUGAGUCAGGAAAAAACAUCCCUAUUCCCUCAACCUCUUCUUCUUCCUUUGGCUGUUUCAUUAAGCUAGGCCACACAUUCCCCUGCUGAAAAAAACAUUUUCAUAACUUUGAGAUGGAGAAACCAUUUCUAAGCAUGAUGCACAAAACCAAGAAGUCACAAAGGAAAAGACUAAAUAAAAAUGUAAAAAGUUUGAGCAGCAAAACACAGUAUUUUUGAAAUGUUAAAAGAGAAGCAACAAACAGGAAAACUAUUGACAGUCUAUAAUAAAGGAUUAAUUGCACACAACAUAUAUGGCUUAAUAUGUGCCAAUAAAUCAGUUAGGAGAAUAUGAACAAUGGAUAAAAGAAGUCUCUUGAUAGAAUAAAGAGAAUUAGUCAAGAAAUAUAAACAAAUAUAUUCAAACUCACCAAUCAUUACAGAAAUAAAUUUAAAUGUAUUCAUAUUUAUUGUACUUAGCAUCUGUAUUGGUUUCCUGGAGCUACUGUAACAGUACCACAAACAGGGCGGCUUGAGAAACAGAAAUUGAUCGUCUCAUGGCUGUGGAAGCUAGAAGUCUGUGAUCAAGGUGUUAGCAAGGAAAAAAGUUAGUGAGAUGUGCAGUCUGCACCCCCAGGAGAAAUGCGGAGUGUCUGUCAGCCUGUCCUCUCGUGGCCGUGUGGGUGUGAAUGAUAUGACCAGACUCAACAGAGGAAUCUUCAACAUCAGUGUCAUCACAUGGGCCAUUUUGGGAGUCAUUUAACACAGCUCCGAAACCACCCCAUGUCCCCUGAGACCCUGCAACAUCAGCCUGCCACUAGAAAACUGAUGCCAAAUAUGAAUUUGGAGAACACUGGCUAUUAGUCUUUUCAGGUUUCCUAUGGUGUGUGUGUAUGAGCUACCUAAGUAACCACUUAUUUUAUUGUUUUUUAAGCAGAUCUUUAAAAGGUUUCUUUUUUUUUUUCCUUCUAGCAUUCAAUGGUUGCAUUUGGGAAGCACACUUCUAGGAAUAAUGACAAAAUUUGGGUUAAAUUUCUUUGCCUCUUUUUUUUUAAAUUAAUUCAAAUAGACUGCCCUCGAUAAAUACCCAUCUGAGGUCAUUACACUGUCCAAGCAGUAUUUCAUGGGUAAAAGAAAGUGACUGAGACAGCACUGUAGCAUGAGGCUUUGUAAGGGCUCAGGGUUUCAGUCGCCUUUUCAGAGCGGCUGACAUUUAGACCUCUGAAUUGGGAUUAGUUCAGAAUGGACCAUGUAUGGGGAAAAACGUGGAUAAUGACAGUCAUUCCAGAGAAGGCAGAAAUGAGGAUCUCAGAUUGGAAACUAAUUUUAGUUAUCCUGCACAUGCUCAAGCCCCUGUCACACUCCUCUGUAUCUCUCCUCUCCCUGAAUGGUUCGCUCAUGUAGCAGGCAGUGCCUGAUAGCAUUUAUGGGCAUCUUCGAGAUGCUCUUCCCACCAUACUUUGCAAGAACUCAACAUUGCCCUUUGGUACCAAUGACUUACGAGAACGACUUGUAGCAUUCCAUUGCCCAAAGAGCAUUGAUAGAUGUCAGAAUUCUGAAAUAGCUGCAGGAGCAGUUGCCAGCACAAAUCUUGCGAGCAAAACUUAGAGAGUGGUGGAUUACAAUGUCAGAACUUCGGGAAAGUGUAUUCAUCACAAGAUGGAGUCAAGUGGUUCACACAUUGGUGUUUUAUCAGUUGUUGACCGUUGUUAGUAAACGCAGAGGUAUCCUACCGAGCAGAUCGCCUCUGCCCAAAGACUGCCUGAAUCAUUGAUGCAGUAGAUUUUUUUUUUUUUUUUUAAGUAGGGGCUUGAACUCACAACCCUGAGAUCAAGACAGGAGCUGAGAUCAAGAGUUGGACGCUUAAUGGACUGAGCCACCCAGGUGCCCUGAUGCAGUAGAAUUCUGACUAGAAUGUAUUAGUCAAGAUGGGACCCACUCAUAGUCCACAUAUCUCUUCUACUGAUGUUUCAUACUGCUAGUUAAUUUCCAUGAGCUUAUAUCUCAUCCCUUAACUAGUUUAUGGUUGGAUCCUGGGACUGCCUGAGGCCUGUUGGAAAGAGAAGAGCUUACUAUGGAAACACGAUUCUGGUCCAACAGGUUGAAGAUUCCUGGUAGCGAUCAGAGAUUACUCACUAAAGGGGAAUUGAGUGGAGUGUUUUGCAGAACUUCUGGAAACAAAAUCAGAUGGAGAUGGUGCCCACUGGGAGAUGUUACAGUGUGAGGGGACAAUGAUCUGUACCUUUUGGAAUAUAAAAGAAAGAUAAGGAAGGGUUUUCAUACUUGGGUAUUUUUUAUUAACAUUCGUCAUUCCUUUCUCCACCCUCCGAUUUUACUAAGCACGCUCUAUACAGCAGACACUUGGAUAAGAAUUUCUCUAUUACUUAGCCAUUACUUUGUCUCCAAUUCCUUUAAUGUUUUCUUUAGUACAAUAUUUAAGAGCAUAGUCUUUUUGGGUCACACAGAGUUUUUUGUGUAUCAUGCAAUAAGACCUUAUUGACCCUAUGAACUUGAGCUGAUUACCGAAUCUUUCUGAGACUGUUUUCUCAUCUAUAAAAUGGAGGUCAAGGGGCGCCUGGUCUGCUCAGUCAGUGGAGGGUGCAACUCUUGAUCUUGGGGUUGUGAGUUCAAGCCCCAUGUUGGGUGUAGAGAUUACUUAAAAAUAAAAUCUUUAAAAUAAAUAAAUAAAUAAUUAAUUAAUUAAAUGGAGAUCAAAAUACUCCUUGUCUCGUGGGGUUGUUGUAAGACUAAACGAGAUUAUGUCUAUAAAAUAGUUUAAGCUCAAUGUGGGAAAAUAGUAAGCACUUGCUAUCACUAUUUACUGCAAGUUUUUCAUUUUUCUAUUAGAUUGAGCCAUUUGAAACUGCCAUUUUUGUAUGUCAAAAACUGUAGAAUUUUGGUGACUUUAUAUGGUUCAACUUCAUGUUUGUUGUGUUACCUAGAAGGACUUAACGUUGGUUGUCAUUACAGUUGAGGAGACUGAUCUCCUAAAUAGUGUAAAUUAGGAAAGGAAUAUGUUAUCCAAAGACUGGAGGUCUUUUAUAAGUUUGUUUCAAAUUGUAAGUUUAUUUCAUUCAGGAUUACAUUUCUUUGUAUAACUGAGCACUUAACUCAGGGCUCUCUACAUAGGAAAUGAUUAAUAAAUAUUAGAGUAAUGAAUUCAUACAUAUGAAAUACCUGAACUUUAGGAAACAGGCAACUACUUUUUAAAAAAGCACCCACUGAGUGGCUCAGUGGGUUAAGCAUCCGACUCUUGAUUUCAGCUUAGGUCGUGAUCUGAGGGUUGUGAGAUCAAGCCCCUGUUAAGAUUUUCUCUCCCUCUGCCCCUCCCUGCCCCUCACCUGCUCUCUCUAAAUAAAUAAAUAUUUAAAAACUUAAAAAAAAAAUCGCCCUAUUUCCUUGGUUAUAAAACUCCAUUUCUAAUACCUAAGAUCCAGGUGACACAUCAUUUCAAAAACAUGAAUAAAGCGAAUAUUUCUGAUGUGAGUUGACCCAGUUGAGUUUUGGGAAUUAGAUCUAUCAUAUAGAAACCAUUUGACUUCAAUCCAGUGAUUCCUGAUGAAAAAUAAGGCUGUGCAAGCCACAGCAUGGAAAUGGGUGUUACGUCAAGGGUGAAGGUUGCAGUCAUAUCUCAGUUCUUCUCCAAAAAAAGAAAGAAAGAAAGAAAGAAAGAAAGAAAGAAAGAAAGAAAGAAAGAAAGAAAGAAAGAAAGAAAGAAAAGAAAAGAAAAGGAAAGAAAAGAAAAGAGAUCCCAGAUCAGAAAUAAAAGAAGCUAGAAGUUAUAAGGCUCUGUUUCCAGCCAGGGAUGAGAGAACCAUACAAAAUCAAAAGAAGCUUAGGUUCUUCACUCCUCAACCCACAUGCUAAGCAGCUUUACUGUCAAGUCUAAAACCACCCAUAGUAAGAAAUGCGACUUUGGUUCGUGGUUUUGGUCCAGAGGAAACAGUUAAGUUAUGAAUGGUUGCUUUGAAACUUGGUCACUGGAUGACCCUCAUUGAGUUCCAAUGAAAGGUGAAUUUAAUAUAUAAAUUUGAAUUUAGAAUAUAAAUUAGGAGGGUGUUUGCAAACCUAUAGAGACAGAAAGUAGAUUAGUGGUUACAAGGGGAUGGGUGGAGGUGAGGACAGCUAAAGGAUGUGAGGUUGUUUUUUGUGGUGUUGGAAAUGUUCUAAAGUUGCACAGCUUUAUGACUUUCCUAAAAAGCACCAGAUUAUACAUUUUAAAUGGCUGAGUGAUGUUGUAUGUGAAUUAUAUCUCAAUGAAACUCUUUCAAAAAGCAAAAGAAAAAGUGAAAGAGAAAUUUCUUUUACAAACCUUUACCCCUACCAUGAAGAUAUAUAACCUUGGUAAGCAUUUUGGUGUGUAAGUCUUCUGGACUUUUUUCCAUGCUAUAAGACCUGUUUAGUAACCUGUCUUUUUAAACGUAACAAUGUAAUAUGCAUAUUUUUAUGCCAAUGUACAUCAUCUUCAUUAAAUGGCUGCGUGAGACUCCAUUUAUUUACAUAUACCUACAUUUGCUUAGCCAAUAUCUUAUGAUUAAAUAUUUAGAUUGUUUCUUCUUUACCAUUUACAUACUUCUUUGCACCUAAAAAAAUUAACAAGGAGAAUCUCUGAUAAACAGACUGACGAACCCAUAACACAUCAGUGGCACAAGCAGAAGAGUUGACUUUUUUUCUUGCUUUUAAUGCAGCUCACACGUAUAAACACGGUCUCUAUGAUACAUAAACACUUAACUGUGCACCGGGCACAGUGCUUUGUGCUGCAGAUGCUACAAAUCACACUAAUUAUCUGUCCUCAGUUCAGCCUCGAAUUACCACUUCAUGGGCAAUAUUUCUAAUUCCUUUUAGGUAAUAAUUCAAGAUAAUAGCAUAUCUUAUACCAGACAGUAGUUCAUUUCCUACGGCAUAUUUUGCUAUCAUAGCCUACACCAUAGAAUCCAAGAAUGUUAUGCCCACAGAUCAUCUACGGAAACCCUACAUCAUUAUAUUGUAGAUGCCCCCGCACCUGCCCAGCUCUAGACCCCCUUUCCCCAUCAACUGGUGGUGUGAGAGUAGAAGCUGGAUCUGAAAUAAAAUUCUCUUUUUUCCACUGCUAAUUACAGUGAGAAAUCGGGAGAACGCUAUUGCUUUCGGCUAACGCAAUUAACACUUAGAUGUGAAUGAUAAUAGGUUUAAUCUUCCAGGAGCAUGAGUAUUUUAAAAGAGAAGUCACCAAUAGUAAUACUUUCGGCAUACUUAUAGCCCUUGGCCAUUUACAAAGCACUUUCAUACUGAACCGCAUAAUAGUAGGAUAUCUAUUGUACAGAUGGACAGAUCCAAGACUCAGAGGCAGGUCUUCCUUUGUCGGGACAGAAAUGGUAGAUGGCAAAACUGAAGCAGACACCAGAUCUUCCCUCACUUAACCCAAAGCUCUUUCCACUCACAAAUUAUCCAAAUGAAUCGGUGGGAUGCCUGUCUGGGUAUUUUUGAGCAAUCUACACUUUCCCCUCCUCCAGCAAGAAUAGGAGUCAACCACCUGGCUCUUUACUUCUGAAAAUGUGCUCCCCCGACCCCACAGCUAACCGGAGAAAUCUGGGUCCUUUGACAGCUGUCUUAACAGACUUAGAUGAUAGACGAUUUCGGCAUCUCCGCAGGGCCAGUGCUCUUUACAAAGUUCACCAAUGAGCACGAGACACAUGCUAGCUGUGCUUAUUUACAACUCAGUUUUAGUGGAGGCCAGGUUGAAAUAUUCGAGGGAAACGGAUAUGAAAUGUUUCAAAAAAAAAAAAAAAAAAAGAUGGAUUUUGUAUUUCUUCAAAACAAUUAUGCCCAGGGAAGCAAGAGCUCCUCCUAAUCCUCUCUGCAUUCUUCCCCACGACCCCGGCCGCCACUUGCUGCCCGCCUGAGGAUCACGCCCUUUCCGUCACGGGGAGCCAUCCGCCCUGACACGUCCUGGGCUCUGUUUCUCCUCCCAGCCUUUCAGCACCAAGUAUUGGACACACAUUC